rnacentral:tRNA from 5 species
GGGGAGGUAGCGAAGUGGCUAAACGCGGCUGACUGUAACUCAGUUCCUUAUGGUUCGGCAGUUCGAAUCUGCCCCUCCCCACCA